GCUGACACAUUUCUGUACAAAUGUAAGGAUAAAUUUAUAAUUUUGACUAUAAAUAAAUAAAAGGGUUAUUCUACUAUCACAUUGUGUACAUUAUGUCUGUGAUACAUCUUUUGAGUUAGUAGGAAUGUUAAUUCAUAUUUUCAAGAGUUAAAAAUUUAAGGCAUGAAUUUACAUAACUAACUCAUAAAUAGCUCCUGACCAUAAGAUCAUCACGAGGAUGGUGAUCGAUCUGGAAGGUUGGUGUAUGAUCACUUUCUUAGGAUAGAUGUGUCUUGAGUCUACGGUAUGGAGAUACCAGAGUGAGAGUACAGAUAUUCAUUGAGAAUGAGAGUACUGAGCGUGACCACCUCGAGCAGUCAUAAGGAAAUCUACCUUCUCAUCGAUG
rnacentral:lncRNA from 1 species